AUUGAACGCUGGCGGCAGGCCUAACACAUGCAAGUCGAGCGAGCGGCGGACGGGUGAGUAAUGUCUGGGAAACUGCCUGAUGGCGGGGGAUAACUACUGGAAACGGUAGCUAAUACCGCAUACCAUCAGCUGUACCCAGAUGGGAUUAGCUAGUAGGUAGGGUAAUGGCUCACCUAGGCGACGAUCCCUAGCUGGUCUGAGAGGAUGACCAGCCAAACGGGAACGGAGACACGUUCCCGCCUCCUACGGGAGGCAGCAGUGGGGAAUAUUGCACAAUGGGCGCAAGCCUGAUGCAGCCAUGCCGCGUGUGUGAAGAAGGCCUUCGGGUUGUAAAGCACUUUCAGCGAGGAGGCGUGACUCGCAGAAGAAGCACCGGCUAACUCCGUGCCAGCAGCCGCGGUAAUAC
rnacentral:rRNA from 1 species